rnacentral:rRNA from 1 species
AUUUUGACUGUGCAAAGGUAGCAUAAUCAUUAGUCUUUUAAUUGGGGACUGGUAUGAAUGGUUUAACGAAGUAUUAACUGUCUCAUUUUAAUAAAUUGAAAUUAACUUUUGAGUCAAAAGGCUUAAAUAAAGUUAGAGGACGAGAAGACCCUAUAGAGCUUUAUAAAUUUAAUAUAAAAUGUAAUUUGGAGGUUUAGUUUAAUUUAAGUAAAAAAUUUAUUUUAUUGGGGUGAUAUGAAGAUUUAAUAAACUCUUUAUAAUGAUUGAACACUAGUAAGUGAAUAAUUGAUCCAUUUUUAGUGAUUAUAAGAUUAAGUUACCUUAGGGAUAACAGCGUAAUGUUUUUUGAGAGUUCUUAUCAACAAAAAAGAUUGCGACCUCGAUGUUGGAUUAAGGAAAAAGUUGGG